rnacentral:piRNA from 1 species
UCCAAGCUCUUGGGAGAGAUGGCUGCUGA